rnacentral:rRNA from 1 species
UUUUCGGUUGAUCCUGCCGGAGGCCAUUGCUAUCAGGGUUUGACUAAGCCAUGCGAGUCGAGAGGUGUAAGACCUCGGCAUACUGCUCAGUAACACAUGGAUAAUCUGCCCUUGGGUGGAGAAUACUCCCGGGAAACUGGGGUUAAUGCUCCAUAGUGGAUAUAUACUGGAAUGUUAUAUCCUCGAAAGAUCCGUCGCCCAAGGAUGAGUCUAUGUCCGAUUAGGUAGUUGGCGGGGUAACGGCCCACCAAGCCUUUGAUCGGUACGGGUUGUGGGAGCAAGAUCCCGGAGAUGGAUUCUGAGACAUGAAUCCAGGCCCUACGGGGCGCAGCAGGCGCGCAAACUUUACAAUGCGAGCAAUCGUGAUAAGGAAACCCUGAGUGCCUGUCGAUGCACGCUGUUCAUAUAUCUAAAUCAUAUGUGAAGAAAGGGCAGGGCAAGACCGGUGCCAGCCGCCGCGGUAAUACCGGCUGCUCGAGUGAUGGCCACUAUUACUGGGUUUAAAGCGUCCGUAGCUUGAUUGUUAGGUCUCUUGGGAAAUCUUCACGCUCAACGUGAAGGCGUCCAAGAGAUACCGGCAAUCUUGGAACUGGGAGAGGUAAACCGUACUUCGGGGGUAGGAGUGAAAUCUUGUAAUCCUCGAGGGACGACCUAUGGCGAAGGCAGUUUACCAGAACAGCUUCGACAGUGAGGGACGAAAGCUGGGGGAGCAAACGG